rnacentral:ncRNA from 2 species
CCUGUUCGUUGGGGGUGGCCUCAGGGCCUGAGAUGAUACCCUUGGAACCUGAUCUGGAUCAUUCCAGCGUAGGGAAACGGAAGUCUGAAUGU